rnacentral:rRNA from 1 species
UACGAGUGCUUCAAGCGUUAUCCGGAAUCAUUGGGCGUAAAGGGUGCGUAGGCGGCGAUGUUAGUCUCGUGUUAAAUCUUUCGGCUCAACCGAGAGUCUGCACGGGAAACGGCAUUGCUUGAGGACGGAAGAGGUCUCUGGAACUCAUGGUGUAGCGGUGAAAUGCGUUGAUAUCAUGGGGAACACCAAAAGCGAAGGCAAGAGACUGGUCCGCUCCUGACGCUGAAGCACGAAAGCGUGGGUCGCGAAUGGG